rnacentral:lncRNA from 1 species
GUUCAAUUUAACCAGGACACCCCUGGUGUAUUGCUAAGAGUCAAUAGCCUCAGGCUUAUCCCUGGUGCUGUCCUCAGAGAAGGGUGACAUGACCUAGUUCAUGGCAACAAAACACUGAACUUUUGUCUGACACAGACUUUGGUUGCACAGAGUUGACUGCAGAAUGGAUUUCAUCUCCUCCAUAGUUGCUACCUGCGUAAACUGGGAUGUCAAAAGUCUGCUGCUCUUCAUAACUAUUUUUAUCCUCACUAUGGACUGCAUUAAGAACCGCCGGCCAGCCAGCUUCCCUCCAGGACCUUGGGCUUUUCCUAUCGUGGGUAAUAUUUUCUCAGUGGACCACAGCAAGACCCAUGAAAGUAUGAUACAGGUAAAUGAACCAGUCUAAAAAAGAUAUAUCCAACAGGUCAACUGAAAGAACCAACUUAAUGUUUCCAGUUAUAUUAAGCAUUUUAUUUUCCUCCUCUCUUAAAUCUGUUCACAGUUAGCAAAGAAAUAUGGAGGUGUGUACAGCCUGCGAAUGGGCCAGGAGUGGCAUGUAAUCUUAAACGGGUUUGCUGCUCUGAAAGAAGCUCUUGUAAAUCAAGGAGACAGUCUAACCGAUCGCCCAUCCAUGCCUCUGAUUGAGGACCUGACCCAUGGAUUCGGUGAGAGGAUUUUAAACACACAACAGGCAAAUACUAAGUCAGCAGUGGGACUAAAUUGUCAUGUUAGUGGGUCACUGUUUUGGCUUGCAUAAUUACCAGUUCAUGUAACCUCCUUUUGGGCAGUAACAGAUGAAUAUCUAGGGACUGUAGUUGCUUGUUGAUGAGCGUUUUUGAAAAUAUCAUGAAUAAACAAAAAAAGGAGAUAAAAUAUACGAAAAACAUUUGUUUUAGAACUUAAAAGAAAUAUAGUAGUUGAUUCAUAAAAGUUUUUCUGACCAUGAAACUGAGUAAAAUUGGCAACAUUUUUUCCAUCUUAUUGAAAAGAUUCAAUCACAGAUACACAACAGAGACUGAUGAAUUAAAAACAUGUUUAUAGAAAAACUAAUUCUCCUUGAUAUUUUGCUGCUUUAUUUUCCCUUGCUCCUGAUGUACUUCUGAUCAGGGGUCUUUUUUACAAAUGGGAACAUGUGGAAACAACAGAGGCGUUUUGCGCUCUCCACCCUAAGACAUUUUGGAUUUGGCAAGAAGUCACUUGAACCAGUCAUCCUGGAUGAAUUCACACAUUUCUCAAAAGUCAUCCAGAGUUAUAAAGGUACAGAUUGAAUGUACAAUUAUACAUUUUGGCAGAAGAACCUGCACAUAAAACAAAAAACCCAACUAACUUUCUGUUUUAUUUUGAAGGAAAGCCCUUCGAUCCACAUCUCACCAUCAACCACGCUGUCUCCAACAUUAUGUGCUCCCUGGUUUUUGGGCAUCGCUUUGAGUACAGUGAUGAGACGUUUCAGAGACUGAUGAGCUGCCUUGAAAUAGCAUUCCAGUGUCAAAGCACAGUUUGGGCACAGGUAUGCUCUUUUCAAACUAUCACAACAAAAUACAACUUAAGAUCUAAAAUGUCCAAAAACACAUGGUUUUUUUUUUGGGUUUCAAUAUUAAGGAUUUAUUUCUACACCCUAAUAUCACUUUAUUUUGAAUUGGUUCUGCUCUGCAGUUACACAACUCUUUCCCCCGACUGAUGAGACGUUUACCAGGACCACAUCAAACAUUCCUGGAUAUUUUCAAUGAGGCAAAGGAGUUCAUAAGAGAAGAGAUUAAGAAGCACAAACAAGACUGGGACCCCUCUGACCAAAGAGACUACAUUGACUGCUACCUGAAUGAAAUACAGAUGGUGACUGGCACUAGAUACAUCUUUAAUUUUCACUCAUUAAGUAGUGUUCAUGAAAUGUUAAGAGGUCCAUUUUUGUAGGAAACGUUUUUAAUUGUCACUUCUGAGGGCAUUUUAUCUUACAGAAUACAACUUACUUUAAACCCUGGAACAGCAGCUUGCAACACUUACAGAUUAAUUUAGUGGCGCUGCUGUCUAAUUGUUUUGAAUUAUCAGAGCACUUUAUUCACACAUGUAUUUGGAUCUAUUCUUAGGGGAAGGGGAAGGCUGGCAACACUUUUGUGGAAGAAAACCUUGUGAUGUGCGGCUUUGAAUUUUUUGUGGCUGGCUCUGAAACAACAUCCACCACCCUGCGAUGGGCUAUCCUCUACAUGACAAAGUACCCUGAGAUCCAGGGUAAGAACACUAAUCAGUCCACUUCAUAUUUGAAAAUGUGCAAAUAGGGGAUUAACACAGAUAUUGGUGGCAAAAUCUUAGGGGUAAACUAAACAAUCACAUUCAGAUAAAAAGGGUAACUUAACUAACAAAUAUUGUGCCAACACAAGUCCUUCAUCAACUCUAUGCCGCAGACAUCACACUCAAAAAAAGUGGAGAACACAGGGACUGGCCUACACACUUAAAUCAUCUGAAUGGUUUUCUAUCUCACAGCAAAAGUCCAGGCUGAGAUCGACAGAGUGAUUGGAAGGUCCAGACAGCUGUCAAUGGACGAUCGAGCACACCUGCCCUACACAGACGCUGUCCUUCAUGAGAUCCAGAGAAUGAGUAGCAUAGUUCCCCUUGCCACGGCUCAUAUGACCAACAUGGAAAUCCAGCUGGAAGGUUACACUAUACCAAAGGUGACUUUUCAGAAAACGUGUUUUUAUGUCAGGAGAUCUUUAUAUUGUAUAAUAUUAGCUGAACGGAAUCGUUUCCAGAUGACAUUCUGCAUCCUGACUUUGGUCGAGGUUUGAAAUUCUCUGUAGCCAUAAAUUCUUCAUAAGUACUUGUAACUCAUAAAACUCACGAUACAAGAAACUGAUUGUUAAGAUCCUGAGCUCAAUAAGAGAUCAGUAGUAAACAGAAUCCAAAAAGCGUAGCUUGAAAAAUGUAUAACUGCAGGGCUACAGUCAACAAUAUCACAAUAACAAAAUCAUUCUUACAAACAGGGGGUUACAGUUAUUCCAAAUUUGACCUCAGCACUAUAUGACAAGGAUGAGUGGGAAACCCCGUUCACCUUCAACCCAGGACACUUUCUAACUAAGGACGGCAAGUUUGUGAAACCAGCUGCUUUCAUCCCUUUCUCUGCAGGUGAGGGUUUAACGCAGACCUUUGUUUUAUUUGAGUCUUUCUCUGUUAUUCAAGAAAUCUAGAGGCUGCGUCAGCAAUUAUUAGGAACCUAUGGAUCACCACAUUAUUAUUUCACGGGGUUCUUACACUAUUUUAAGUCAAAUUUAAGGGCCUUUUGAUAUGUUUUUAAGGACCUGCAAAAAUGUAAUUUGAGAGGCCUAACUAUUGAAAAACCAUCUUGGAUUGAAACUGAACGUCAUGGUGACGUACAUGGUGAACAUUAACUAUCAACAAUCUGCAGCUCGCCUAAGCCAAACUGGUCCCUGAGUUCCUCCUGUAAAGGCUCAACAAACUUCUGGUUGAUAUUAAGACCAUCCAUGGACACCAAGAGCAUAAUGCAGCUGCUUUGCACAGUAGGCAUUUAAAUUAAUUAUGGAAACGAUCAAUUCAAACAAUCCACAGUCAGGUAAGAGGGAAGGUUGUUAGCCCCUGUGUCACAGUGAUGCUGCUCUUAGCUGAACUUUCUAUUAAUCUUGUACACUCGAGUCUGACAUUAACACUGAUCGGUGUAACAGCUUUGACUGGCUGGGUGGCAUCAUGUGUUACAAUUUAAAUCACAGGCAUUGGCUACUAAAAUUGCAGCUGUUAAGGUAAAACAAGCCGGACUUAUCAAAAAAAACAAAAAAAAAAGAUAUUAAAUAACGGGUCCAGACACCAACAGGACAACAUAUUUAAUGCUCAGAUAAUUUAAUCUUGUGUAGCUGGUCAUAGUACUUCUUGACCACUGUGUGUCAGUUUUACCAUCGCCCUUUUCUCUUUUUGCUCUCAACUUUCUAUUACCCUUUCCUUUUAUAAUUAAGCUAGGAUCUUCAAAUGAACUUUCAGGUAAAUUCAAGACAAUUUAUGGCCACAAUUACUCUGAUUCUAAUUCUAAGAAGAAUUGUUGGCCAUUUUGAACAUUGUCAGCUGGCCUAUUCCCGCUUACAGUCUACGCAAGAUCAGUUUGGAUGGAUCAUCAAUUAAACGGUUCCAACAAGAAUUUUCAUUUUGGUGCAAAAUUUUGCUGGUGACUCAAAAAACAAUAACCUUUCUUGAAAGAACUUCUGAAAACAAACAUUUCUACUGACGUAGUUUUGCCUCAGGGUCUAAACUUUAUCAAAAAUUCUUGUUUGUUUAAAUUUAUUUUUCUGUCUCAGGUAAGCGGCUGUGUCUUGGUGAAAGCCUGGCCAAGAUGGAGCUUUUCCUCCUCUUCACCUCCUUCCUUCAGCACUUCACCUUCUCCAUGCCUGCUGGAGUGAAGCCUGCGCUGGACUACCACUACAGCAUCAUAUUAGCACCAAAUUACUAUGAAAUCUGUGCAACCUCACGCUGAGAGAAGCUCUGAUUGACCAAGAAUUAUCAAGGAGUUAUCAUCUUUUCUCUGUUGAUUCUUUUUUUUUCCCAAUGAUUUUGAAAUACUAGCAAAUGUAUAGUUUGUGUCAUUUUAGAUCACAUUACUAUGGGACCCUUGCAGUGGCGAUUGCUCUAAGACUGCAAGGGAAGCUCGGCUUCACUGGAGUUCUAUGGCGAGAGGGCGGUCCCGACUUUCUCCCGGACUCCGAACUUCUGCAUCCAUGAUUGGAUGAGCUGUCUGAGGCGAAAUCCUUUUUUGAUUGACAGCUAAACAAGCGAAUCAGCGAUCUUGAAGAAUAAAACAUCUACCAGAGCAUUUUCCAAGUUAUUCAUUCCGUUGGUCUUAACUGCUCCAGAGACUUUACCGAUCCUCAGCGACUUUUAUCUUUGUUAAAAACGACUGCCGUUGUGUUUGGCGACUCUGUUCUGUUACAUACUAAUAAACAAAUACAAUUAUGAUGUUGGCCAGAAAAAUGAGCUUCCCCUCCUUGAAAGACCAGCAGCCGCCACUGGACCCUUGCUAAUACCUGUUUUGGGCUGUAAAGCAUCAAUAAAGUAAACUUCUUAGCA